CGGCGAUUCAAAUUUCAAUAGCCAAUUAAAACAUCAAAAAAUUGUUUUCAAAAAAAAAAAUCGAUUUCCAAAAUCACUUCCACUAUAGUUGCGAGUUACCGGGCGCGCGAAGCUAUGAGCUCUUUUAAGCACCUAGGGAGGCUCAUUAGCGGCCUCUCUUUAGUUGCUAAGGAGAUUGCUAGACGCUCUCAGACUCUUGAACGGCCAGCAGGUGAUAAUUUCCAAACCCUAAUCACCUACGCAGCCAAGAAAGCCCUAGUCUCCGUCACCGAUGUAUCGGGCCUUACCAAAGGGAAAGUCCGCGAGUUUUCGCCUCCUAAGCCUAAAGAAUCCGUCGUUUACUUCGAUCAUUCGGCUGAUUUGGCGGAGCCCCGCCCAGUCCAGCCGCACUCCGUUGCUGAUACUGGAAAUAGCAAUGUUGUUGCUGGAGAAGUUGUUGACGAGAACGUUUCUGAGGACAAUCAGGUUUCGAGGAAUGAACUUGGUGAUUUGGAGAAAGAUGGUUUCCAGACUCGGAAUCGGGAGGAUAAACGAAAUGCGGGUAGCGGAGAGGUUGCGCCGGCAGUGGCGACGGAAUUGAAGAGGAGGAAGCCGAGGGAGAGGAAAGUUCCUUCGACUCCGUUUUCUAGGGCGCUUGGGUUUGCUGGGCUAGGAGCUGGGCUUGCAUGGGGAACAAUUCAGGAAUCUACCAAGAGGCUUGUCUUUGGUACUCCAAGUUCACAAGACAAGCAAUCGGCUCUUUCCCCAUUUUUAUCUGAAAAAAAUGCAGAACGUUUUGCCCUCGCCUUAUGCAGAAUGCGUGGAGCUGCACUCAAAUUAGGACAGAUGCUGAGUAUACAGGAUGAAUCUCUUGUUCCUGCUCCGAUCUUGGCUGCUUUAGACAUUGUCCGUCAAGGUGCAGAUGUGAUGCCAAGGAGCCAGCUUGAUAGAGUUUUGGAUAGUGAAUUGGGUUCUGACUGGUCAACAAAUUUAUCUAGUUUUGAUUAUGAGCCAAUUGCUGCUGCAAGUAUAGGGCAGGUGCACCGAGCAGUUACAAAGGAUGGUAUGCAGGUUGCAAUGAAAAUUCAGUACCCUGGCGUUGCCAAUAGCAUUGAUAGUGACAUUGAGAAUGUGAAACUUCUCUUAGAUUAUACAAACCUAAUUCCAAAAGGCCUUUAUCUCGAAAGAGCUAUGAAGGUAGCAAAAGAGGAAUUGUCCCGUGAAUGUGACUAUGAGUUGGAGGCAACCAACCAGAAAAGGUUCCGUAUGCUACUAUCUGAUACUAAGGGGUUUUAUGUUCCAAUGGUUAUAGAUGAACUUUCCUGCAAGAGAGUCUUAACUACUGAACUUAUCUCUGGAAUUCCAAUUGAUAAGGUGGCAUUACUAAACCAAGAAACUCGUAAUUAUGUUGGGACAAAGUUGUUAGAACUUACAUUGAUGGAGUUAUUUGUCUUCCGAUUCAUGCAGACUGAUCCUAAUUGGAGUAAUUUCCUGUAUGAUGAGGCCACAAAAACUGUUAAUCUCAUCGACUUUGGAGCAGCGCGGGAUUAUCGUAAAAGAUUUGUUGAUGACUAUUUAAGAAUGGUCGUAGCAUGUGCAAAUAGUGAGAGGGAUGCAGUGAUUGAGAUGUCAAGAAGACUUGGGUUCCUUACUGGAAUGGAGUCAGAGAUAAUGUUAGACGCUCAUGUUCAAGCUGGUUUGAUUGUGGGAUUGCCAUUCUCUAAGCCAAGCGGAUUUGAUUUCCGAUCCACCAACAUUACCCAAAGUGUUACAAAUCUUGGUGCUACAAUGCUUAAGCACAGGCUCACACCACCACCGGAAGAGUCUUACAGCCUUCAUAGAAAGCUUUCAGGUGCUUUUUUGGCUUCCAUCAAGCUUGGUGCCACUGUACCAUGUAGAGAGCUAUUGCUUGAAGUCUAUGAGAAUUAUCAGUUUGGUGAAGAUGAAGGUGAGAUGUUAUCAAGCAGCUCUCUUUCUUGAUAGGUUCCUUAUAUCUGUUCUUUUGGGAUAUAUAUAUUUUUUUGAUGUAUUCAAUAAAAUGAGGGAUGAAAUUGUUCAUCCAAGCAAUGUAGGCAAGUCUUUUUUUUGCCUUAAGCGGAAUGAUGGGUGUAGGUUUUAGCUCCUCAGAAUGAGAGAUAUAUUAGUUUGCUCCACGAAGACAGAAUUGAGCUAGAAUCACCCAUCUGCAUGUAUAAACCUUCAUUUUUUGUCAACAGUCAAGAUAAACAUACAUCUGCAAUUUUCUUACUACAAUGGGAAUUCUGAUUUUGUUUAAUCCGAGAAUACUUCUCAG
rnacentral:misc_RNA from 1 species